GUACGUGAUGAAAGCAUUGCUUCACCCUUGCCGGGGUGACCUGAACAUUAAUGUUGAAACCCACAAUGCUGCCUUCCUUCUGAUAU
rnacentral:snoRNA from 1 species